rnacentral:rRNA from 1 species
AUUGAGACUUCGCGUGGAUUUGAUCUAUUUCUAGUGGCGGACGGGUGAGUAACGCGUGGGUAACCUGC